UACGUAGGGUGCGAGCGUUGUCCGGAAUUAUUGGGCGUAAAGAGCUCGUAGGCGGUCUGUCGCGUCGAUCGUGAAAACUUGGGGCUUAACCCUGAGCUUGCGGUCGAUACGGGCAUGACUGGAGUUCGGCAGGGGAGACUGGAAUUCCUGGUGUAGCGGUGAAAUGCGCAGAUAUCAGGAGGAACACCGGUGGCGAAGGCGGGUCUCUGG
rnacentral:rRNA from 1 species